AAGCUCUAACCAGUGUGAUAACUCAGGCUGGACCAAGAUAUUUGCAGAAGGAACUAAGCUCAUUGUAACUCCCCCAGAUAAAAAUCCUGAUGAGGACACUUCCCCCAAGCCCACGAUUUUUCUUCCUUCACUUGCUGAAAGAAAACUCCAUAACACUGGAACAUAUCUUUGUCUUCUUGAGAAUUUUUUCCCUGAUGUUAUCAAGAUAGAUUGGAAAGAGAAAAAUGGCAAAGCGAUUCUGGAAUCCCAUCAGGGAAACACCAUGAAGACAAAUGACACAUACAUGAAAUACACCUGGCUGACUGUGAUGGAACAGUCAAUGGAUAAAGAACACAAAUGUAUCAUCAAACAUGAGAAGAAUAAAGGAGGGGUUGAUCAAGAGAUUAUUUUUCGCUCAAUGAACGAAGAACUCACUGCUAUUAACUCUAGAAAAGGGUCUCUGGAAGAUAGAAAUGACCCCCUGCAGCUGCAGCGCACGAGCACCUCUGCCUACUACACCUACGUCCUCCUCCUGGCCAAGAGCGUGGUCUACUCCAUCCUCAUCGUCUACUGUCUGCUCGGGAGAGGAGUGCUCUGUAGCCACGGGAAGAGUUCUUAAUAGCUGCUGGCACAUUUUGGCUAUUGUCACUAAAAGUGUCUGCUGAGGAUCUAGCGGGGCUUCCUUUCUGGGUUUGGGUCAUUUCAGUUCACAGGUGUCUGCUUCUAUUGUGUCACUAUUGCAGAGCGGGUUCACAAACCCCUGGGCAAACGGGAAAGGUCACUCUGCACCAAGAAUAAAGUCUGCCGUGACUCAGGGUGGGGGUGCCGGAGGGCAGCCACAUGAGCUUCGGUGCCGCUGUCUCUUCACUGUCCACCGGCUCCUCAGCCACCCGGCACCCUGGCCUCUGAGCACAGCCAGCGAGCAGUUUCCCUAGUGUCCCUGGGGCCCUUUAUCCAGACACCUGCCUGAGGGCCUUUUGUUUUACACACCUGUAAGCUGCCAUCUUUGCUACUUGAACUUUGUACUGUUUUUCAUAACAGGUCUAAUAAAAACAAUCAAAAGUCUA